rnacentral:rRNA from 1 species
UACGUAGGGUGCGAGCGUUGCCCGGAUUUAUUGGGCGUAAAGGGCGCGUAGGUGGCUCGGCACGUCCGUUGUGAAAUCGCUCGGCUCAACUGGGCGAGGUCAGCGGAUACGGUCGAGCUUGAGCCAGCUAGGGGGCAAUGGAAUUCCCGGUGUAGUGGUGGAAUGCGCAGAUAUCAGGAGGAACACCGGUGGCGAAGGCGGGUCUCUGGGCAACAACUGACGCUGAGGAGCGAAAGCGUGGGGAGCGAACAGG